CGGAGGAUCCAAGCGUUAUCCGGGAUUUACUGGGUUUAAAGGGUGCGUAGGCGGGCGCUUAAGUCAGCGGUGAAAGGCAGCGGCUCAACCGUUGAAUUGCCGUUGAAACUGGGCGCCUUGGAUUCGGUCGAGGCCGGCGGAAUGCGUGGUGUAGCGGUGAAAUGCUUAGAUAUCACGCGGAACGCCGAUUGCGAAGGCAGCUGGCCAGACCGAGAUCGACGCUGAGGCACGAAAGCGUGGGGAUCAAACAGGAUUAGAUACCCUGGUAGUCCACGCCGUAAACGAUGAUCACUGGAUGCCGGCGAUACACCGUCGGUGUCUGAGCGAAAGCAUUAAGUGAUCCACCUGGGGAGUACGAUCGCAAGGUUGAAACUCAAAGGAAUUGACGGGGGCCCGCACAAGCGGAGGAACAUGUGGUUUAAUUCGAUGAUACGCGAGGAACCUUACCUGGGCUAGAACGCCGAGCGCAUAUGGGGGAAACCCCAUAGCCAGCAAUGGCGGUCGGCGAGGUGCUGCAUGGUUGUCGUCAGCUCGUGCCGUGAGGUGUCGGGUUAAGUCCCAUAACGAGCGCAACCCCUACUGUUAGUUGCCAGCGGAUCAUGCCGGGGACUCUAACGGAACUGCCAGCGUAAGCUGUGAGGAAGGUGGGGAUGACGUCAAAUCAGCACGGCCCUUACGUCCAGGGCUACACACGUGUUACAAUGGCCGGUACAGAGGGCAGCCACCCCGCGAGGGGGCGCGAAUCCUCAAAGCCGGUCCCAGUUCGGAUCGGAGUCUGCAACCCGACUCCGUGAAGCUGGAUUCGCUAGUAAUCGCGCAUCAGCCACGGCGCGGUGAAUACGUUCCCGGGCCUUGUACACACCGCCCGU
rnacentral:rRNA from 1 species